rnacentral:lncRNA from 1 species
UAAGAGACUUAGACACUAGUAAUAAUAACUGGGCUUAAGCAUUUUGGGCUGGUGAUUGGGCCCAACGAGUUAUUGUUGCUAGUGGGCUGGGUCGUUAUAUUAACCAUAUUUUAGAGACAUUUUCACAUCUUAUUUAUAGGUUUGAAAGCAAUUAGAAUCAGAUUAGAAUUGAAAAAUCGAGUUUAAAAAAUUUGUGUCAGGUU